rnacentral:rRNA from 1 species
UACGGGAGGGUGCGAGCGUUGUCCGGAAUCAUUGGGCGUAAAGGGCGCGUAGGUGGCCCAGUCAGCGUGCGGUGAAAGCUCGGGGCUCAACCCCGAGUCGGCCGUGCGAACUGCUGGGCUCGAGCACUGUAGAGGCAGGCGGAAUUCCGGGUGUAGCGGUGGAAUGCGUAGAGAUCCGGAAGAACACCGGUGGCGAAGGCGGCCUGCUGGGCAGUGGCUGACACUGAGGCGCGACAGCGUGGGAGCAAACAGG